GGAUAUGGUCAUACCAGCACUAAAGCACCGGAUCCCAUCAGAACUCAAAACUUAAGCGUGCUUGGGCGAGAGUAGUACGAGGAUGGGUGACCUUCUGGGAAGUCCUCGUGUUGCAUUUU
rfam:Brachypodium distachyon strain Bd21 chromosome 4, whole genome shotgun sequence.